rnacentral:tRNA from 1 species
GGUGAGGUCGCAUAGGGGUCUAGUGCGGCGGUUUGCUAAACCGCUAUACGGGUUAAACCGUAUCGAGGGUUCGAAUCCCUCCCUCACCG